rnacentral:tRNA from 1 species
GGGGUUGUAGCUCAGUGGCAGAGCACUUGCCUUAUUAAGUGUGAGACCCUGGGUUCAAUCCCCAGCACCACA